AUGAGUGAGUGGGAGGACCCAAACAGAAGAGAGAAAAUGCAGCAGCAAGACGGAGACCUUGACCUCACCCCCCACUGAUUGAGCCCCUUCUCAACCAGCGGCUCCACUCCAUCCACGCCCGUGCUGCUGCUUCCCCACCAUCUCAAGCCCCUGCCGCUGCAGCCAUCUCCCCGUUGAAAGCCUGCUGCUGCUUCAUUGCUUCACCUGCCUGCAAAAUAAGGUGGAUCUAAAGCAGGCCUCCAAGAGAAGCACCCACGGCGCUACUCUGCUCUGCUUUCAGCUCAGGCACAGCACAAACAUAACUAGAGAGCCAAGAUAGAGCCAGAGAUGGUUGGAAUAAUGGUGAGCGCUUCUACCGGGGUGAUGAACUCUCUCCUGGGUAAGCUGGCAACCCUGAUGGGGAAGGAGUUUGCCAAGUUGAAGAACCUGAGGAAGGAGGUGAAGAACAUCAGCAAUGAGCUGAGCAGCAUGAAGGAUGCUCUAGAGUGUCUUGCAGAUGUGGAUGAGCUGGAUAUACAGACCGCAAGGUGGAGGGACACGGUCAGGGAGAUGUCUUAUGAUAUCGAGGAUAUUAUUGAUGACUUCAUGUGCAAAAUUGGGGAGAAAAGCAAAAAAUCUGGGUUUGUCCACGACACCAUUCAACGCCUGAAAACUUCAAGGGCCCGCCAUCAGAUUGCUGGCCAGAUCGGGGACAUCAAGAAACUUGUGCGUGAAACAAGUGAACGACGUGACAGAUACAAGCUCGAUGUCCCCACAUCUCGCAGUGUGGUAGUUGACCAACGGGUUGUCUCUCUCUCUAUGAGAAUGCAGCUAAACUUGUUGGCAUGGAGGGCCCAACCAAUGAGGUAGUCAGUUGGCUGAAAGACGAGGAGAAGAAGCUGAAGGUUGUAUCAAUUGUUGGUUUUGGAGGUUUGGGUAAAACAACACUCGCAAAUGAGGUAUACCAUAAGCUGAAGGGGGAAUUUCAUUGUGGUGCAUUUGUGCCAGUGUCUCAAAAGCCAAAUAUUCCAAAACUUCUGCAUAGUUUGUUAACCCAACUUGGGUGUGGACAAUCUUUUCAUGACUUUGAGUUAAAUGUUCUUCUCGACCAACUCAGAGAAAAUCUAAAAAACAAGAGGUUCUUCAUUGUCAUCGAUGAUCUAUGGGAUGUAGCAGCAUGGAGUAUUAUUAAAUGUGCUUUCCCAGAAAAGAAUCUUGGUAGUAGAUUAGUAGUAACUACAAGAAUCAAGACUGUGGCUGAGUCAUGUUGUUUCGGUCACCACGAGCACAUUCUUGAAAUGAAACCUCUUAGUGAAGAAGACGCAAGGAAAUUGUUUUUUGAUAGAAUAUUUUGCUCUGGAGAAGCUUGUCCAGGUCAACUCAAAGAUGUUUCAGUUGAGAUUCUCAAGAAAUAUGGUGGUUUGCCACUUGCAAUCAUCAGCAUAUCCAGCCUAUUAGCAAGUGGAGGUUCCGACCAAAAGGAGAGGUGGAAACAUGUACUGAAUUCUUUGGGGUCAGUGUCGGGCACAAAUCUCACCUUGGAAGCAAUGAGACAGAUCUUGAACCUUAGCUAUAAAAAUCUUCCUCACCACCUCAAGACAUGCUUCUUGUAUCUUGGUAUGUUUCCAGAGGACUAUGAAAUACGGAGGUAUGACUUGGUAAGUCUAUGGAUAUCCGAAGGUUUUAUUAGUAAAUCACAUGAACAAAGCCUAGAACAGACUGGGAUAAGCUAUUUCAAUGAGCUUGUCAACAGGAGCCUUAUUCAACCUGUACAGAUUGGCAGGGAUGGGUCAGUGUUAACUUGCAAAGUACAUGAUAUGUUGUUGGAUCUUAUCUUGUACAAGUCCGCAGAGGAGAAUUUUAUCACUGUAGUAGACAACCCAGAGGCCAUUAGAGGACUUCUUCAAAAGCCCCGUCGGAUGCUCUUCAACUUGGAUGGUGCAACACUGCCAGGGCAUGUUAGUAUGUCAAAAGUGCGAUCGUUUGUAAUGUGGAUAGGCUCUAUGACUAUGAGUAUACCUUCUCUAGCAGAGUUCAAGUAUCUUCGAGUGUUUGUUGCUGACUUCAGUUCUAGUUCUUCUUAUGACAACCGGAAAAUCGACCUGACAGGAUUGUGUAAGUUAUAUCAGCUGCGGCAUAUAUGGAUUCGUGUCUGUAGCUGUAGGAAGUGCCAGCUACCAACCAAAAUUAGAGCGCUACAGAUGUUAGAAACAUUUGAUAUAGAUGGGUCUUAUAUCCCAAUGGAUAUUUUUCUCCUGCCGCACUUGUUGAAUCUGCAUGUUCCAUUCGUUGAAAGACUCCCGGAGGGCAUUGGCAAAAUGACAACCCUACAACGUCUGACUAAGUUUGACACACUUCACAAUUCACUUGACAGUAUGAAGGGCCUAGGAGAGCUCACCAAUCUGAUCACUCUAUCUCUCGUAACCGGUUUCUCUGAAGAUGUGGACAUGGAUGUUCUAAGCUCUUCUUUGGGAAAACUCUGUAACCUCGAGUUUCUGCUCAUAUUAUCACCUAGGAUACCUGAGGCACUAACCUUGUCGCCUCCUCCCCCCAACCUUGUGACACUCGACAUGAAUAGAAGCUCCCACGUCCCUAACUGGAUUGGGGAACUCCAUAACCUCCAGACCUUGGAUCUCGUUGUUGAGAAGCUGGACAGGGAUGGUGUUGGUAUUCUUGCGGGGUUACCAGCCCUCAUCGACCUGAAUUUAACGUUUGAUAGUGCCCUGGAAGAAACGAUUGCCAUUGAUGGGACAACAUUCGUAAUUCUAAAGCGGUUUGAAGUCAGCUCAAAUAGCAUGCCACACCUGACCUUCCAAGCUGGGGCAAUGCCUAAGCUCCAGACCCUCUCUCUGUGGUUGAACGGCAUGGGGUGGAAGCAGAACGAGAAGGCCGCACUUACAGGUAUCGAGCACUUGGUAGCACUUGAUAGAAUCACUGUACGGAUCACCACUGGUACUGAACCUGAACAAAAAAGCGUAGAGUCAGCCAUCAGGAGCGCUAUCAACAUGCAUCGCAGCCAUGCUCAAAUUACAGUCGAUAUCAAAUGUUACUGAUUUAUGAUAAUCCUUGGUAUGAUUUACAGCCAACAACAGCAGAUGGUAUGUUCAAUGUCCAGCUGGUCUGUCUCUUAUAUGUUUCCUGAUAACUACUGGGUAAUGCCGUACCUUUUAUUUACUACUUUCCCGUACCUUCUUUUUUGGGUUAUAGAAAAGACCUUUGUAGAUCUAUGCAGAUCCAAAAACUAGAGAUCUUUGAUUUAAAUCGAAAAUUCUGAGCUCUAACCGACAUUUCUCUCAACAUUUGAGCUCUUAUGAUUUCCCUUAUGAAUGAUGAUUAAACAAGUUUUUGCAAAUGUCUAGGUGGAGUGUUCCAAUAAGAUUUGAGGUGCGUGUAUAUAGCUUCAAGUAAAGUAUCUUAAUAUUAUAUGUUGGCGCUGUUUGAUUAGUUGGAGAAACGAGUCAUUUCGUGAGGUCAACCAUUCUCAUAGAAACUGAUUUUCAGGGAAGGAAGUGGAAGCCGAUACUUUUCAGGGAAGGAAGUGGAAGCGCAAGAAGAUGAGAUGCGUGGAGGAAAAUUGAGGUGUCGCCAACCUUUAUGCUGCAUUGUAGCGGAUGGCAAAUGGAUUACUGCAUUUUAUUCCCGCCCAGAAUAUGGAGCCAUCACUUUGCUUUGUGUUAUCUUGUCGAACUGUCUCUUAUUUGUCUCCCAAGAUGAUGCAUCACGUACCAUUUCCUUAGGUUUCUCCUGUAAUAAUAAGGCUUGAUGGUGGGCAGGAGUUAGCACUAGUUCCUCGCUCCUUGCUUGACUAGCCAGGGAUCAUAUUUUCUUGUUAUUGUUGUAUGUGUGCGUUUGCUUAUUGCAUCAAACUGAGUGUAUUCAACUGAACACUUAUUCCUUGUA